rnacentral:tRNA from 1 species
GUGGUAGAGUUUAGUGGUAGAGCACUUGCCUUGCAAGUGUGAGGCAUUGGGUUCAAUCCUAAUACCACA